rnacentral:misc_RNA from 1 species
CAAGGAAACGUUUCCAGAACGGGGCAACGCUCUCGCCUCCAGUUUCCGUGCAUCCUAGCCUAGGGUCUGGUUGAGAAAAUGUGUAAAGUAUUUUGAAGUAUAUAGGGUGCCUUGUGAUCGAAAGGUAGAAAUGGCAAGUCUUUUCUUUGUGGGUAGAGUAGAUGCUUGGUAUCACAAUUGGUAUAAAGGGGAAAAAUAUUCUUGGGAGGAAUUCGAGAAAGCUAUUUGUAGUAGGUUUGGGGAUAAGGGAUUGGAGGAUAUAGUGGAGGAAUUCAUGAAAAUAAGGCAAGAAGGAACUGUGGGCGAAUAUCAAGCUGAGUUUGAAGAUCUUAGAAUUAGAAUGGAGAGAUUGAUGCCUGAUUCAGGGGAAUCAUAUUUCCUCUCUGGCUUUGUGGGUGGUUUAAAAGAUGAGAUUAGAUUCAUGGUAAGGAUGAUGAAACCUGUUUCUUUAUCUCAGGCUAUGGAUAUUGCUAGGUUACAGGAGCAACUAUUGGAAAGUAGUAAGAAACCUAAAGGCAGUACCAAUUUUUCCAAACCCUUCAAGAAUUUCAGCAGUAAUUCUACCACUCCUAACCCAUCAAAUUCUCCAUUCUAGCACUCGAAACCAAAUCAAUCUUAUCAGUACGCUCCAAGACCACCCAAUUCUAAUCAGAAUUCCAAACUUAAUCCAAGCACGACUGUUAAAACACAACCUGCAGGCAGCAGCAUUUCUUCUAACCAAACAACAGCCUCAUCUUCAGCACCCAAAACUGAAAAUAAUGGUACUGCAGCUCCUAGAAAUUUACUCAAACCUUGUUUUAGGUGUGGGGAGAAGUAUUUCCCUGGACAUCAAUGUAAACCCAAGUCCUUAAAUGUAAUUUAUGUAGAAGCUUAGAAGGUAAGGAAGAUGAGUUAGGGGAUGAAAAGUGACAUGAUGUGAAGGCUGAUUUGGAAGAAAUGGGGAUUAUGGAAGACAACCUUGUCUGUGCAUGCUUUGGAAGGGAGUCAUUGUAUAGAUACAAUAAGGAUGCUGGGGACUCAUAAAAAUAGGCAGCUGGUGGUAUUAAUUGAUAGUGGUAGCACUACUAGUUUCCUUGAUAAAAGAGUGGCUUUGGACUUGAAAUUAAAAUUUAGUGAAGAUUCAUUCUACAGCUGUUACAGAGGCUGAUGGUAGAAAAUUGAGUUGUGAACACAUGAGCCAUAAUUUUAAAUGGAAAAUGCAGGAAGUGGAGUUUGCAUUUGAUUUUAGAA